GGCCAAGUUUUUAAGGGCGCACGGUGGAUGCCUUGGCACCAGGAACCGAUGAAGGACGUGGGAGGCCACGAUAGUCCCCGGGGAGUCGUCAACCAGGCUUUGAUCCGGGGGUUUCCGAAUGGGGAAACCCGGCAGUCGUCAUGGGCUGUCACCC
rnacentral:rRNA from 1 species